UUGUUGUCGCCGUGGCUGUGGGAGGACAAAGCCUAUGACGACAUCGUGGAUUUCACCAACUGCCCCAUCGAUUCUUCACCAAUUCAGCUGGCAGAGAGUACCCCACUUUUCAAGGUACACUCGCUGUUCUCGAUGCUCGGGCUGAGUCACGCCUACGUCACGGUGCUAGGACGACUCAUCGGCGUCGUCGCGCUCAAAGAAUUACGCGCAGCCAUCGAAGCCAUCAACAACGGCACCCCGCAGCCCAACGACGACGUCGGUCCCGACGAAGGCGUCGACGCCGACGACGAAGAAAGCAACGUUGCGCUCAUGGCACAGAAUUUAGCGCCAAAAUAAUCGGAAUAACCGCCGAUGCAGACUCAGAGGAAAGGGCAUAUAUAGCAGCAUGUAUAAUUUUUCUUAGUACGAACUAUGCUAUUCAAUGAGGAUGCGAGUUUCAAAUUAUGAAUCAAAAUUAUUUCAUUAAACUUAC
rnacentral:lncRNA from 1 species